UAGGGAAUAUUGGACAAUGGGGGUAACCCUGAUCCAGCCAUGCCGCGUGAGUGAAGAAGGCCCUCGGGUUGUAAAGCUCUUUUGUCCGGAAAGAAAAGCUUCGGGUUAAUACCCCGGGGUUCUGACGGUACCGGAAGAAUAAGCACCGGCUAACUUCGUGCCAGCAGCCGCGGUAAUACGAAGGGUGCAAGCGUUACUCGGAAUUACUGGGCGUAAAGCGUGCGUAGGUGGUUGUUUAAGUCUGAUGUGAAAGCCCUGGGCUCAACCUGGGAAUGGCAUUGGAAACUGGGCAGCUAGAGUGCGGUAGAGGGUAGUGGAAUUCCCGGUGUAGCAGUGAAAUGCGUAGAGAUCGGGAGGAACAUCUGUGGCGAAGGCGUCUGCCUGGACCAGCACUGACACUGAGGCACGAAAGCGUGGGGAGCAAACA
rnacentral:rRNA from 1 species